AUCGCUUCUCGGCCUAAUGGCUAAGAUCAAAAGUGUAGUAUCUGUUCUUAUCAGCUUAACAUCUGAUAAAUCACUUAUUAAGUGAUUCAAAUGUUAAACAAUUUUUUUAAUAUUGGUGGAGAUUAGGAGCUUGCUCCUGCUCCACCGCGGGUUGGCCCGGAGUUGCAGUACUUCCGGGAUCAGCCCACAUAAU